UAGGGAAUCUUCCGCAAUGGGCGAAAGCCUGACGGAGCAACGCCGCGUGAGUGAUGAAGGUCUUCGGAUCGUAAAACUCUGUUAUUAGGGAAGAACAUAUGUGUAAGUAACUGUGCACAUCUUGACGGUACCUAAUCAGAAAGCCACGGCUAACUACGUGCCAGCAGCCGCGGUAAUACGUAGGUGGCAAGCGUUAUCCGGAAUUAUUGGGCGUAAAGCGCGCGUAGGCGGUUUUUUAAGUCUGAUGUGAAAGCCCACGGCUCAACCGUGGAGGGUCAUUGGAAACUGGAAAACUUGAGUGCAGAAGAGGAAAGUGGAAUUCCAUGUGUAGCGGUGAAAUGCGCAGAGAUAUGGAGGAACACCAGUGGCGAAGGCGACUUUCUGGUCUGUAACUGACGCUGAUGUGCGAAAGCGUGGGGAUCAAACAGGAUUAGAUACCCUGGUAGUCCACGCCGUAAACGAUGAGUGCUAAGUGUUAGGGGGUUUCCGCCCCUUAGUGCUGCAGCUAACGCAUUAAGCACUCCGCCUGGGGAGUACGACCGCAAGGUGAAACUCAAAGGAAUUGACGGG
rnacentral:rRNA from 1 species